UCUUUGAAAUUAAAAAAUAUAUAUCUAUAUUACACAACUUUUCAUUUAUUCCUCACAAAUCAGUAUUUUACAAUUCAGGAUAAUUGGGAUAUAUGCUAAUUACAUCAUUCCAAUAGCUAUUUAUAAUUCGUAUAACUAAGUAAAAUUCAAUUUAGGGUUACAACCUAUUAAUUUAUAUAUUAAAAUAAGUUCAAAUAUUAUAUUGUUAUCAAAACGGCGUUUGAGGAUAAUAUAUGUUCAAUGUUUUAUACAAUUUUAAUUAUUAAAAAUAUAUAUUUAAUUUUAAAUAUAUGUACCUUUCGAGUUAAGUGUCACAAAUUGAAUUGUGGGUAAUAUGAAAAUAUACGGGAUAUGGAGAAACCCAUUGAAUUAUUCUGCCGUAAACACCGCAAUUAACCACCAGGGGGAGAUGUUCGGAAACUACAUGCAAUCUUGUAUUUGACCAAAUGUAAACAAUUAUCAUUUUGUCUACGAACAUCCGAUCCAGACGCAUGAUACGUCUUUGGAAAGCCACAAAACGGCUUUUUUAAUAUAAAAAAAAUAACCCCUGCAUAUUGAGCUACAGGGCACAGCACGAGCAGUGAAAGCAGGGUCCCCACAGACUUCUAUCAGGCGCGUUCACGGUCAUAACAAAGCCUACGUCAGCAUGCGCGCUUCACAGAAUGUCCGCCCCCAUGCUUGCCUGGAGUUUCACAUCGCAAUAGGAGGAUUCUCCUCAGGUCUGUGAGGAUGAGAAGGUCUCCACAGUCUGGAGUCUGGUCUCUGACAGGCUCAACAUACCUGUCAAUCAACAGGGACUCCUCUACAAAGGCAAGGCGCUGGCAGGUAGGCUGAACAGCACAGCACAGCACAGCACAGCACAGAUCACCCCUCAUCUCGCCCCUCACCUCACCCCUCCUCUCACGCCUCGCCUCACCCCGGGUCAGUGUGGCACAGCCUGCCUGCUCUUCUGAACAAACACUUCAGUGUCUGGAGCAGCUACACAAGGUGAUGAAGUGACACUUUGAAUAUGGGGCCUGAUGAGAGAAGUAUCCUUUUCAUGUGGUUUUGGUUUUGCCGUUGUGAGCAGGUGUGGGAGACAGCACCGUGUCUUCAUGUGAAAUAACAAAGUCAUCGCAGUGGAGGGACUCUCUGAAGGCUGCUGUUUGUGGAUUUGUCUUUUAAUGUGAGUGAUCUACUGUACUGUGAUGCCACUGUCUGUACGCACGCUGCACUGUAGGGGAGACACCGCUGGCAUUCACAGGGCAUGCUUGUUCAUUUA